rnacentral:rRNA from 1 species
AUGCGCAUGCACGCCGACGCCGGGUUCUUCUUGGCCCCUGGUCGUCGACGACACAUUAUCACCCCCGGCGCAGUAAAAUCAUCAAUUACCGAUCGACCUGGUCGAUGGAUGCUGCCACCGUGCCACGAGGCCGCUCUUCUUUUCUCCUCCGCCUCAGGUUUGGCAGGGGCAGCAGUGGCUGGAGCACGAGGGCGUGCUGCCCAACCAGGCGCGGGGAGGUGGGUGGCUUUUGGGGGGGCGAGCUGCCUGCCUGUUGGUGGUGGUGACUGGUGCGGUUUGGACGCGAGGCGCAGGCGACGACGAUGCAUGCAGCUCGCGCGCACGCGAUGCAAAGUCGGCCGGCGUGCAUGCACCCCUUCCACCGCCGGCCGGCCACGUGCCGCCCAUCGUACGACGCGAACGCUGCUGCCCAUCCCUGAUCCCUCUGUCUCGCCGUCAAACAUAUACGCGCUGUACACGGAGCCCGCGAGUGGUGUCCUUAUACGAAGUUGGAAUACAUCGGUGCCAUGGGCUGGGGUGCUACCUUUGUACAUGGGCCUCCCCCAUGGAGUUAGACCUGUCAUCACCUUCUUCCUGGCGCACUGGACAUGGGACGGGGCCCCAUGGAUGGGAUGGAGUUCUUCUUCGAAGAUGACGAUUCAGGAAUUAGGAUCAGUUAGGAUGCAGAUGAGAGGGAGAACAAUCCCAGCAGAGUGCCUCCUGCGCUUGAGGCUUCGAUACAUUCUUAUGCUGAUAACAAGGCAGGGUAAACCACUGCAGUCCAAUAGCAGAUCAAAACGGUGUGGCUGCACUGCUAUGAUGUGGCUACUGAGAUCGGAUGAUAACGUUACAUUGAAAGUCGCAUCGACACAUGUACACCGGGGACAUGGUAAAAGAACAAAGAAUGAUUGCGUCGCUGUGGGUCAUGAUCUUGAAGAGGGUUGCGGCCACUUCGACCCCUUGUUGGCGUUAAUCCCACCAAGCCAUGCAGCAAGUCCAAGCAUAGUGAUGGCACUUGUGCCAGCGCUGCUGGAUAGACUCGUCUCCAUGGGAUACUACUGUUCAUUAAUUAAGAAUACAAUAGAUCUCGACUUUGGCAGGCCCCCGAUUAUGGCUGAGCAGAGGAGAGGCAUUGAGGCGGGGGGGUGCGAUGGUUGUGGCUCUAGGCGACUGACCCCCAGCCUCCUUGGUGUCACCAUCGCCCCCCCUUGCAAGCCCGAGGUCCGACAAAUUUUUUGUGCCUCCACCACUUGGAUCCUAGGUGAUCACCACGCUUGCAAAUUCCAGAUGGACCAUUGGCCGGAAGGAUCCUACGUCUCUGAGCUUGCGGCCUUCAUACAUUCAUGGCGGCCUUGGCCCUCCGGACACGUCGAGUACAUCAACAUCUGGCGGUGUCUUCGCAACAUCGCCGUCAGGACAUCCCGACUCCAUCAGUUGGGCUGGACCGAGAAUGACUCAUACACCGCCAAGUCCUGCUACCUUCCAAUCUUCCAUGGAUCAACACAAAACCCUCAUUGGCGGCUUACUUGGAAAUAUUGGGCCACACUCAGUGGCGAGCCCGUCCUUUGGCUUGCCGGGCUUGCUCAGUGCUAG